ensembl:misc_RNA
UUGAUUGUCCUGAAAAACCUCUAUUUAUCCACAGAAAAGACAGAAGUGUAAACUCCAUGAAUGUGCCUUAGCCUUAAUCUGGAGUGACCAGCUCUCCAUGUGAGAAGGUAGUUUAGUCUCCAUUCUCAUUCAGUCUUUGGCCUGU